GUGGAGCUUGUCCGUUGUAGAAAUUCAUCUGGGAUCCAUCCGCUGUAGAAGUUCAGCUGGGAUCCGGCUCUUGUAGGAGCUCGGAUGAAAUUCGGAAGGCGAUCGACCGCCUGAGGAACUUGGAUGGAGUCUUGGUUACUAUAGAAGUCCUGCUAUUGGAGAAGCUUGGACAUUGACGAAGUCUGAAAGAAGUUCGGAGUAAAGUCGAUCGUGGCAGGAAGAAGUCUGGAAGAGAUUCAGAGGGUAGUCGAUCACUGUAGAAAGUCGGCUGAUAAUGAAGCCCGGAGAGCAUUUGGAGCAGUCUGAUAGAUGAAUGGGAGAGCUCAUUAUCGGAGAAGUCCGGAUGGCAUUAUGGAAGCUCGGACAGUCGGGGGAGUUCAGAAAGACAUCGCACAGGGUCGGAAGCCGGAAGACCCCAUGGAGGGUCGGCCUUUUAUGAACUUCAGCUGGAGGUAUUUUAUACCCAACACUA
rnacentral:lncRNA from 1 species